rnacentral:rRNA from 1 species
GACGAACGCUGGCGGCGUGCUUAACACAUGCAAGUCGAACGAAGUGGCGAACGGGUGAGUAACGCGUAAUCAACCUGCCCUUCAGCGGGGGACAACAGUUGGAAACGACUGCUAAUACCGCAUACUGAAGGAGGGGAUUGCGUCUGAUUAGCUAGUUGGAGGGGUAACGGCCCACCAAGGCGAGGAUCAGUAGCCGGUCUGAGAGGAUGGACGGGCACAUUGGGAAUGGGACACGGCACAGACUCCCACGGGAGGGAGCAGUGGGGGAGCUUCCGAAAUGGACGAAAGGCGGACGGGGCAAAGCCGGGUGAGGGAUGACGGCCUUCGGGUUGUAAAGCUCUGUUAAUCGGGACGCGGUACCGGAAUAGAAAGCCACGGCUAACUACGUGCCAGCAGCCGCGGUAAUUC